GCCACAGGCGUGGCCCUGAAAAGGAAAAAAAAAAAAAAAUUCAAGUUUUCGUGCUUUCCAAAGCAGGAGUUGCUGGCUCUAGCUAAGCUCAUCCUUAGGGCAAACUGGGUUAGGAUCCUCAUCUGGCUGAGUGACAAGACGGGGUGUCCCUGAGACUAUCACUGAAGAGACAAUCUACAAUGAGAGGGUGGCUGUGGGGAGGAGAAUCUCGAGCCAGGUGGACACAUGUUCUAAUCCUGCCUGUCACUUAGGGUGUGACCCGGGGGACACGGCUGAAUCUGUGCAGGCCAGACCCACACGGGAACCACCUGGGCAGACCACCCUCCCAUAGCCUGGCCUCUCCAAGACAACCAGCGUCUGUCCCGAGGCUCCUGGGUCCUCCGCCAACACCGCUACCUGGAUAGAGGCUUCCCGCAGGAGGUGCUCAGGUGGUGCUAAUAAAACAGCCCAGCGAAGUCCUACGACUCGUCACCUGCUUGUCACCCACGUGCACCUUUCCUCUGAGCAGACGAAUCACAGAAGGAUGUAAAGGGCUGGUUUCACAGACCUGUGUCCUUACUGAGCACUGGCUACUCUGGAACCCAGUAGCCCUGCCAGGCCCUGGUCGCAGGCUCCCCCACUGCAGGCUCUCCGAGCCCUCUCGUGAAGUGUGGAGGGCCAGCCUGAUCCAACCCAGGACUCACGGGAGCUCAGACGAUGGGGUACCCGGGGUGGCCGGGGGAGACACGAGGUCCCUCUCUCACCACGAGGCCCACCCUGUCUGGCAGGGGCCCUGAGCCCAAAGGCAACAAAGCAAACCACCACCCCACCCCACCCCUCGCCCCGGGCUGGUGGGGUGAUGACAUGGGGCUGACGGCCCCUCCCUCCAGGACUGCACCACCUGCUGGCUGUGCCCAUGCUCAGACCCAUGGACCAUCAUGAGGACAAGGUGGUGUCCGUUUUCGUGUGAAACCAUUUGUGCGGCAGCACAGCUCUGCCUCGGCGGUUCCUGUGGACAACAAGACACGGCUUUUGGGGAAAACAAGACAGAACCACACUGCCAGGCCAGCUGGUUGCCUGCCGCCCCCAGGAGGUGCUGAGUGGGGUCUGUGCCCCGGGCCCCUUCCUGCGGCGCCUCACAGAGGACCAGACACAUCCCUGCCAGAGUGAGAAAGCAUCAUCUAUCCCACAUCUUCAGAGGGCAGCAUUCUGACAUUUACUCAUAUUUUAAAAUCAAAUUUUUAUUCUGCCACCAAUAGUAAACAAAGCACAUACAGCCAUAUGCAGAGCACCCGUUAACGGCAAAGGGCGAAGCUCUAAGAAACUUUCUAGAAUGAUAGUCUAGACUAACCCUGUUCUAUAAUUCGCAAGGUCAGGAGCCAGUAAGCAGAGCCACCACCCCACCCCCAGGCCUGUUCAUCCUGUUCAGCCUCAGCCACCAAGGGGCUGCACCAACCACUGCGGCUCCUGGGGCCUUUGUCCCUGUGGACAGUGCUAGGAAGCAGAGUUCCCGUCUUUUUUUUCUUUUUAAACUUCAAACGUUUGUGGGAAAGAAAGAUGACGUUGCCACACACUCCCGAGGUGCUUGGCGGUGCCUCCAUCAGGAGGAGGUGGCCCGUCAGCCUCCAGGGGACAUCACCACCACCUUGAAGCUAGUAAGGUGAGAAAAGAACACCAAACACCACCAGAAUGUGCAGAAUAUCCUUUUCUUACACACUUUCCCCCCCUUUUAAAACAACAGUAUUAAGUUCAGAAGCAAACAGAAGACAAAAAAACCAAAUCUAUUACAUUUUAUUAUUAAUACACCUUGGAAUCUUAUCCUGCACUUUUAUCAGAAGGUCCUAAAAUAUUAGAAAAUCUGUAAAUGAUGGACAUAUCAAUCAAAGUAACUGCGGAAUCUUCCUGAAAUGACCUGGCGGAGGACAGCGCUUGGUAGGCACAGGUCCCGGGACACAGGGACUCGGGCUUUCCGGAAAUGUGGGAAUGAUCUGUGUGCUGAGGGGAGGGUGGAGAUGGAUCGGCAGGUUUCCAUGGGCCUCAGGUGCCUCCCGGCGCUUGUGUGGAAGAACAGCCUUGAACUCACAGGGGAGACUCAGUUCGGAUUCAGGUUCCUGAAGUGGCGCGUCCAUGGUGGGGACAAAGAGGUGGCACAUCCAAGGUGGGGACAAAGAGGUGGCACGUCCAGGGUGGGGACAAAGAGGUGGCACGUCCAGGGUGGGGACAAAGAGGUGGCACAUCCAGGGUGGGGACAAAGCCACCACGGCCCUGUGAGGCCUUCUACACGAGCCCCACUGGGAGAGCCUCUGGGCAAGUCAGCCCACGAUGUGCACACUGCCGGCGGCUGAUGGCUUUAGCAGCCCCAUAAUCCUUCCUUUGAUGUCAGGGUCAAUGCGAUCCUGGUCUCUCACCAGGACUAGCAAUAGAUG